GGCCUAAACCCACCUGAUGGUGGGCAUGGCAGAAAAGACCUCAACAGCAUUAAGCUCUUCGUCAGAGCGCUGUUGAGGCUGUAGGUCGAAAGACUUGCAGGAGUCGAAAGAGGCUUC
rnacentral:ncRNA from 12 species